GUGCUUGUAGAUGUUGCUAUUCAAACAGAAGUUGCUAAGGUUGAAAGAAAGGAUGCUAUUUGGGAUGAAAAUAGAUUGGUUGAUGGAGUUUUGUGGUUUAAGAGUGUUGAAGAGAAAAGUGUUGGAUUGAGUUUGGAAGUUGUUGAAGGAAUGAAAUGGGAACAAGAAAGGUUUGGAUGGAAUGCAGGGAAAGGAAGACAAGUCAAGGUAACAAAAUUUGAAGAGUUUGGUGGAACAAACAAAUGGAAGAAAUUUAGUUGUUAUGUGCUGGUUGAAAGUUAUUCAUUAAGAAGAAUGGAUACAAAAUUGGUUCUAACUUAUGAUUAUAGACACUCACAUCAAAUUAGGAGCAAAUGGGAAUGAUGAUUUUCUCAAACAUUUGUUUACUUUAAACUUUCUUCUGAAUUGUGUACUUCAUUAUUUUGUUCUUGUUAUUCAUUACUCAUCUAUAUAUGUAGCUACACUACACAUAGUUGAUGUUAGAGCCGACACAUUUUGGCUCCUUUAUUUUGUGUAUGCAAAUAAAUAUAAAAGGGUACACCGAUCCAUUACAUUUUUUUUAGGGAACCGAUCCAUUACAUGAAAUACUAGAAUAGUAAUAUUUGUAUAACCAUUUGUAAUUCUGACAAACUUUUUUAUUUUCUUUCUAUUGUUUGAGAGAAUGAAAAUAUAAUGCGACUAUAAAAGAUAGUUGUCAAAAAAUUGUUAUAAAAUAGUUGUACUAAUAUUAUUUCUCAAAUUAUGAUCAUACACAUUGCAAACAACUAGGGAUGAGAAUAGGCUAGGCUGAGCUAGGCUUUGCAAGGCCUAAGUCUGGUCUGCCAUCUUUAUUUAAAGCCUAAUUAAGUCUGGCAUGCGGCUUGUCAUAGGCCUACUUUUUAGGCCUGAGCUUGGCCUUCCGAAAGUCUGAUACGGUCUGCUAGCCUGUUUAAAAGCCUAUAUCUUAUGAACAUCUUUAAAUAAACAAUGUGAUCUAAAUUUAAAUGGACUGGCGAACUAAUAGUUCAAUUAGAUUAAACUCUCUUUUGAUAAUCAACACGAUGUUUUAGGGAAUUCGACUAUAUAUUGUAUCAUAUUUCUAUUCUAGUUUAUAAUAAUACAUUUUUAUAUGCAACAAAUUAAUAUACGCUUAAAUUAUUUAAAAAAGUUUACAUAUUUAUAUUUUAAUUCAAAGGACAAAAUAUAAUAUAAUAAUAAAUAAUAUUAUUCAUAUUACUUAAAUAGGUCGGCCUAAUAGGCUUAAGAGGCUUUUUGACCCUGGUCUUUUAAGCUAAGGGUCUGUUUGGGAAACUAAAAAAAAGAGCUUAUAGCUUAUAAGCUCGUUUGACAAAAAAAACUAUGUUUGGUAACACUUUUUCACCAUGAGCUUAUAGCUUAUUUCACGAGCUUAUAAACUAUUUUUCAGAAGCUAUUCCAAGUAGCGUUUGAGCUUAUAGCUUAUAGCUUCUCACUUUUUCUUCCAAUUUUACCCUUAUUAUUUCAUUUAAAUUGUAUUUUUAUCCAUUAUAAUUUUUAUAAUAAGCUACGUAAUAAAGACUACUAUCCCUUUAUUCCAAUUUUUGUAUAUAUAUCAGCUGGCCUUUUUUUUAAAAAAAAAAAAUAUAUACCUUCGUUUUUUUUUUUUUACGAAACAAAAUACUAUUAUUCUAUUAGUGUUACUUUUUAUUUUUAUUUUUUUGAGGUAAGUGUUAUUUUCUUUAUUCUCUGUUAAUAAUAUUACUCUAUUAGUGCUACUUUUUUUUUUUUUGAUGUAAAUGUUAUUUUCUUUAUAAAGUAGAAACACUUAAAUAAUAAUAAAUAUAAGAUAAAAUUUUAGUGAAUAAAAUUUAAUUUAAUUUAUAAUACAUAGGAUAUAUUAAAUUAAUAAAUUUAAAGUAUUUUUUUAAAGAAAAAUUAGUUUACAAAAUUACAAUUACUUAAAUUAAUGAUAUAAUUUUUAUUAUGAAUUAAGAAUACCCUUUAUGUCAUUUUACAUUUAUCAGCUAGUUGAACCGCUAUUUUUACCAAACACUUCAGUUAGCUUAUCAGCUAAAAGCUACCAGCUAGCUUAUAAGCUAAAAACUAUCAGCUAACUUAUCAGCUAUCCGCUAUUUUUACCAAACAGAGCCUAAAUAGGCUUAAAAAAAAGUCUAUGCAUUCUCUAUUUAAGAAAAAAGUCUGGUCUGACCUGGCCUAUCGUAGGCUAGGUCGUAGGCCCCUGUAGGCCGGCCAGACCUAUUCCCAUCCCUACAAACAACUAUCACAUAUGUUAUGAAACACGACAUUCAUAGAAGAAAUGAGAGAAAAGUGAAUAACUAUUUGUAUUGAUGAAGAUAUAAAGUUACAAAAUGAGUGAAAGUUCCCACUAAUGGGGUGGUUACAAACUAUUUAUAGUACUAUCUAUUAGGACUAAUAUACCAUUAAUUAGAUAUCUCUAUAACAUAUAAUCCUUAUUAGUUCUCUUUUAGUUCCCACUAAUUGGGUGGUUACAAGCUAUUUAUAGUACUAUCUAUUAGGACUAAUAUACCAUUAAUAAAAUAUCUCUGAUAACAUAUAAUCCUUAUUAGUUCUCUUUUGUUUGUUUAUUCCAUAAGAAAGUAUCAACCGACCGAACCUAUAUAAUCCUUUUUCACCAUCUAUAUUAUUAGUUAGAUAGCCGAGUAGUGAUAUUUGAACAAUCAGUUGAGACAAUUUUUUUAUGACAAUUUCUUUUUUCUCUCUUUUCAUUGGUUAAAAACAAUAUAUAUAUAUAUAUAUAUAUAUAUAUAUAUAUAGAGAGAGAGAGAGAGAGAGAAAGAGAGAGAGAGAGAGAGAGAGAGAGAGAGGAAGAGAGAGAAUAAGAGGAUAAUGUGAGUAUGACAGAGAAAAUUAUCACAAAAAGUGGUUAUACAAAUAUCAUUUCUCCACUUUGACUUUGGUACAAAACAUGAAAAGAAAUUCACAUCACAAAAUUGCACUAAUUCAGCAAUGGCUGGUCACCACUCAAACUCAAUGUGUUUGUAGAUUUUCUUUUAGUUUAAGUUGCAGUUUAUGCAAAUUCACCCUCUACCUUUCCAGGAAGUCUCAACUAUCCUAGACAUUGAUAGAUAUUUGGCAUGUGAACCAAAUUCGAUCGAAGUAAUAAAAAAUUCGUUUCCACGAGGACUGUAUUUAACUUCUACUUAGCAAUUUCAUUAUUAAAAAGGAUGUAUAAAUUUAUAUUGGUGCCCUAGGCAGUUGAGUUGAUUUAGUAACAUAAACUGAUUAAAAACAAUAAAGAAUUGGUUUUUAAGAAAAUUGAGAGAAGUAUGGUUAAGUCCUUCGAAUCCUCUAAAGCUCUCCUGUGGUAAUUUGCACUCCUAAAUACGAUCAAUGAUUAUUUAGUUUCACGACAGAUUAACUUAGUAAUUCUACCCAAUCUCUUGACCUAGAAUUCUCCCCGCAAGUGACAACCCCUUAAUCUCUUAAGUGAAUUCGAAACCAAUGGAGGUAUUAACGAACGUUAAUCCCUAUAUCAUAACCUAAUAAUGAUCUAUCUCUAGCUUGAUUACUUAGGUUAAACCUAUUACCUAAUUCAGAGUUAAAAGCCAGGGUUAGUGGUCAUUCAAUUUCUAUGAUCAAUAUGCAUAUUCAUAACGCUAGGGUUAAUAGUCUAUCAUAAACGUACAUAAGGCAUUAAGCACAAAGUAAUAAGAAUAAAAACUAAACUUUCAUUGAUGUUCAAAGGAGUUCAACAAAUUAGGGUUCCCAUAGGGUUACAUCAGAUUCAUCUCAUGAAUUAACCACAAAAGAAUUAGUUACUCAUAGCUAAAGUAUAAGCUAACUAACAUAAGAAAACGGAUUCAUCCAUGUGAAGGAAGAUUGACUCUUAGUUUUGAUGGUUCCCCACCAGAUCUCCAAGUCUCUGCUCCAAAAUAUGCCUUUAGGUCUCAAAAUUCGUGAACCCCCCUUCAGAAAACACCUCUUACUAUUUAUAGGCUAAUAAAAAUCGGCCACCGAGCUCCGAAAUCGGUGGUCGAAAUCCCAAACUGCGUGGCACAAUAGUGUAAAAUCGGCGCCCGAUUUAUGCUUAUCGGCGGCCGAUUUUUGUCGAACUCAAAGUCUGUAACUUGGCAGCAAAAUCGGUGGCCGAUCUAUAUAAUCGGUGGCCGAUUUCCAAUACUUCAAACUUCAUUUUCUUUUUCUUUUGCGGCUUGCAGCUUCAUGAAUUCCAAUAAAAAACCCCCUAAAAUUACAUGAAAAAUGCAUACUAAAAGAGUAAUGACAGAAUGUCAUCACAACCCCAAACUUGCAUCGUUACUUGUCCUCAAGGAACCAACUUAAAAUGAAAAAUCACAGUUAAAUAACACUUACCCCUCCAAUGAUCAUGUCAAAAGUUCAUCUCCCUUGUUAACAAAUGAUGAGCUAACUUGCUUGGUAACACAUCCAUUCCACAACUUCUCGCAACAAUAUUGAAUAUAACAGGGUUCACUCAGUCGACAUGUAGAACUACUAUAUUACCAGAACUUGAAAAAUUUCUAAGAAUCAAUCAAAGUCAAUAUUAUGUACACACUUUUAAGGACUUUUCAGGUUAUAACGUGGCUUAGGUUAGGGGGGAUAAUUUGGAAAGUAGGUUUAAGAAAAACAACGGAGUUAGACACCAACCUACUGAUCUAAAAUAUACCAUGCACCAUAACAUCAUAUCACAAUUAAAACCGGGGACUAGAGAUAACUUUUAUUGAAUGAAACAACUGAUCACUUUUUGUUCUUAAGCAUGUUAUAUUGUUUUUUUUUUUGAGCUGAAAAUUUUGACAGUUCAGCAUAUUUUAUCAUGCUUAUAUAUUUUUUUUUUAGCACAAAGUGAUUCUCUUUUCUUUCUCUAGUACCCCUACCCCAAACUUAAAGUGUUGCUAGUUCCAAAAGCAACCCCAAACUUGAACUUUUCAAUCAUAACACACAAAAACAUGCCUAACUCCAACAAAAUUUUGGAUACAUUCCUAAGGUCUCUAGGCUUGUAAUGUGGUUAGUCACCGAAACAAGGGGUCUAAAUCCUAGUGGCUCAACUUGGUUUAAACAAAGGAUAAUUCAAUAUAAACAAAGGUGGGCUACAAAGGCUCAAGGUACAAACAAUUUUGCCUUAGUGUGUACAAUAUAUGACCAAUCAAUUACAAAGAAAAAUCGCAAGUCCCAGAAAUAGCAUCUACAUGGAAACACUCAUAUUUGUAAAAAAUUAAAAAAAAAAUUAAAAAUUUAGACAUAACCUUACAAGCUGAGGUUUCUGGAAGUUGUUGCUACCUAAACAUCUUUCCGGCCGUACACUUCCCUUAUAGUAUUAUGCAAGCACUACCUCCUUUGAACUUUUGACAAAUCAUUGAAGGAAUCUGUUGUUACUGAACUGGUAAAUUUCAAAAGAAAUCAAUUCCUUAAUAAUAAACAAGUUCAGAUGCAUCACAAAAUAGGGGAAGCAUAAAUUCAUACCCAGACACUUCUCAAGUUGAUUCCUUACAAAAGUUCAGACAAAAAGCAAUAACAGAAACAAAAUUCAAAAACAAAAACAAGAAAAACAAUAGAGAUGAUAAAUGUUUGAGCUAAACAAGGUGCCCAAAUCACUGAUGUGCUCCUGAUGACCCUCCUGGUCCUGAAGGUGGGAAUGGAUACAACACAGGCUGUGUGUCCCCAUCUGGGCGCCUCUCAGACUGAAUCCUGUAAUACUCCGCCCUAAUCCGUUCCUCUGCAUUAGCUCCUCGCAGUCUUUCCUCCGCAAAGUAGUUCUCCAUGUCAAGCGGGCUAGCAAACCUAUCAAAAGCAUUUGUUCUUGCAAGAGAACUCUGUCGGUAAAGCUCAGCUGCCUCAUAAAACGGCCGAGGGAAUGCUGGUGGCGGCAUCCGGUCUCUAGAAGAGAUAUCUUGGGCCCAGUUGGCCAUAGCAUACGUGUACUCAGUAAAAUAGGGUGGAAAACCCUGCUGCUGUAUCUGAGAAGGGUGUACCUGAGGACUGUGAUCUUGCUCCAUCAUCUCAGGAUGUUGCUGCUGUGGUUCCAUCUUCUGCUGAAGCUCUUUAUCAUAUCUCUCCUGCUCCUUCUCCAAACCAUCCAUGACCGAAUCGGAUAUAAAUCUCAAAGACUUCACAUAAACAUCAGUAGGUUCAACAGGAACUUGAGCUGCCUGACACAGUUUGUUUAUCAAACAACAAUGACCCAGAGUAUUCUUGUCUGUCCUGACCAGCUUCCACAAACUAUCAGCCAUCAACUCUGCCACAUCUAUAUCCUCAUCAAAAAUCAUUGCGAGCAGAAUAAGCACACGAUCUCGUAUCAUCUCAGCUGUUGAAGAUGUUUGCUCAAUCACCGUUAAAAUAAAUGACGCCCAUGCUUUGUAUUCUGGUAACAAAUCAGCAGUGUUAAUUCUCUGAGGUCUAUCAACAGGUCCUAUCCAUCCUUUCCCAUCUCGCAUCAACCCCUUAAGCAAAUCGUCCCACUCAGCGCGAGUCCUGAAAUCCUCAUAACCUUGCUUACGAUGCUUCACAUCACAAUUCUCUACUUCCCUCAAACCAAGCACGCGCAUAAUGCUCCUCUUAUUGUACUCCACCCUCUUUCCUCUCACAUAAGCAAACGCACCUUUCUCAUGAAAUGCAUUAGCCAGGAACUCUAAUGCAAUGCUCGCAUUACUCUCUUCAGUCACCAUGUUCACAAUCCCCUCCCACUUCCUCGCUUGAAUUAGCCACACAAUGGAAGGAUGUCUCUCCAAUUUAUCCAUAGCAAUACCCCUUUCCUUGUUAAAAACCCUUUUUUUGAUGACAUUGAACCUUUCCUCCGCUAUCUCUGACACAAACCUUGGGUAAGAUGGAGGGUUAGGUGGUUGCUGAGAGGAAGCACCAGAAACUGUUGUUCCUCUCCUUCUUUUGGUGGUGGGUUCUUGAGUUUGGUUCUUAUCUUUGGCCAUGGUUGUUGUUGGGAUAUGGAUAUGGAUAUAAGAGUUUGGGGUUAAGGUUAGGGUUGAAUAAAUUGAUGAAAUUUGGGUGAAAUUUGUGGGAAGGGUAAGGUUGUGUGGUAUGGGUUUGUGAAGAUGAUGUUUGGGUUUGACAAAGAUGAAGGUUUAAUGGAGAUUUGGGUUUGGUUGUGUUGAGGUUGAUGAAAAGGAAGAAAAAAGGGUAGUGAUUUUCGGUUCUGGAGAAAUUUGGGCAGAGUAACACUACUUGGGGGAAGUUGAGAGGAAGAGAACCGGUCCUGUGCUUAUAUAGAGGGUCACAAAAUCGGUCACCGUUUUUAAAAAUCGGCCACCGAUAUCAAAGAUAACGGUAAAAUCGGCCGCCGAUUUUGAAAAAUCGGGCGCCGAUAUUUGUCGUGGCAAGCAACAUUUGAGUGGCUGAAAAUCGGCCGCCGAUUUUGAAACUCAGCCCCCGAUUUUUCAAAACAACCCUCUUCUUUUUUUUUCUUUUUUUUUUUUAAGUAAGAAAUCGGGCCCCGAUUUUGUAUGCUCGGUGGCCGAUUUGUUACGAAUAAAAAUUCCAUUUUUAGUGUGUGGACUUUGAAAAAUAUUUACAGGCCACAUUUUAGAGCAAAGGAUAAAAGAAAUUGUACCUACUGAAAAAUAGUGGGUUGCCUCCCACUCAGCGCUUCUUUACCGUCACUAGCUUGACUGUAGACAACCUUUAUAGGUCUGUCAGCACAAGUCCCACCCUUUCAGUAGGCAGGUCACCGCCAAAGUAUGGCUUCAGCCUUUGAGCAUUCACCUUGAAGGUGUCUGUCUCGUCAGCCUUUGCCAACUCCACAGCUCCAUGUGGAGAAAUACUUUUUAUCACAAAAGGUCCUGACCAUUUCGAUCUGAGUUUGCCAGGAAACAGCUUCAACCUGGAAUUAAAAAGCAAAACUUGUUGCCCAAUGUUAAACUCUCUCCUCACCAGUCCUUUAUCAUGAUAUUUUUUUGUUCGCUCUUUAUAAAUAGCGGCAUUUUCAUAAGCACUCAACCUCAUUUCCUCAAGCUCAUUGAGCUUCAAUAGCCUCUUCCUACCAGCUAAAGUCUGAUCAAAGUUAAGGGCCUUAAUAGCCCAGUAAGCUUUGUGUUCUAAUUCCACAGGGAGAUGGCAGGCUUUACCAUAAACUAACUGAUAGGGUGACAACCCUAAAUGCGUCUUGAACGCAGUCCUAUAAGCCCACAGAGCAUCAUCUAAUUUCCUAGACCAAUCCUUCCUAGAGGCAGCAACAGUUUUUUCAAGGAUUUGCUUCAACUGCCUAUUAGACACCUCUACUUGCCCACUAGUCUGAGGGUGAUAGGGAGUAGCAACUUUAUGCUUCACAUUGUAUUUGACAAGCACAUUUUCUAAAUAUUUGUUGCAAAAAUGCUUCCCCCCAUCAUUGAUCAAAACUCUAUGGGUUCCAAACCUAGGAAAAAUAUUUUUCUUCAAAAAGUUUACCACAGUGUGGGAGUCAUUAGCAACACAAGCAAUUGCUUCGACCCACUUGGUGACAUAAUCAACACAGACAAGGAUAUACAAGUGAGAAUAAGAGGAGGGAAAUGGUCCCAUGAAAUCGAUUCCCCAACAAUCAAAGGGUUCAAUUUCUAAAAUACCAUUUAAGAGUACCUCAUUCCUCUUUGAGAUAUUACCUGUUCUUUGACACUUGUCACAGUGUCUGACAAAUUCAUGACAAUCUUUGAAGAGUGUGGGCCACCAGAACCCACUAUGUAGAAUUUUAGCGGCUGUUCUUUCACCGCUGUGGUGGCCUCCAUAAGCUGAGUUAUGGCAGUGCCACAUUAUGCUCUUCGCUUCCUCUCCUGCAACACAACGUCUUAUUAACCCGUCAGUGCUUACCUUAAAUAAGUAAGGAUCAUCCCACAAGUAGUGGUUUGCAUCCUUAAAGAAUUUCCUCUUCUCUUGCCAGCUUAAAUCAUCAGGAAUUAAAUUCCCGGCCUUAAAGUUAGCCAUGUCAGCAAACCAUGGCCUUUCUCGCACGUUGAACAGUUGUUCAUCUGGGAACUCAGCCAUUAUAGCCCCCUCUUUGUUUGUAACCUCUCUGUUCUCCAGCCUAGAGAGGUGGUCAGCUACUACAUUUUCAACUCCCUUCUUGUCUCGGAUCUCCAUAUCAAACUCUUGCAGAAGCAAGAUCCAUCUCAACAAGCGGGGCUUUGAAUCCCCUUUUGUCAGUAGGUACUUUAACGCUGCAUGAUCUGUAAAGACAAUAACCUUGGAGCCAAUUAGGUAGGACCGAAAUUUUUCCAACGCAAAUAUUACCGCAAGCAAUUCUUUUUCAGUUGUAGAGUAAUUAACUUGAUUUUCGUUAAGAACUUUACUUGCGUAAUAAAUUGCAUGGAAAAAUUUCUCACGACGUUGGCCAAGUACUGCUCCAACCACGUAAUCACUAGCGUCACACAUGAGUUCAAAAUGAGAAUCCCAAUCAGGUGCAACGAUUACGGGCGCAGUGACCAACUUGCUUUUAAUCAAAGUGAAAGCAUUAAGACAAUCAUUAUCGAAUUUAAACUCGGUUUCCUUGACUAAGAGGUUACAUAGGGGCUUUGCAAUUUUUGAAAAAUCUUUUAUAAAUCUCCGGUAGAAACCGGCAUGCCCCAAGAAACUUCUCACCCCUUUAACAUUAACGGGAGGUGGUAGCUUUUCUAUAACCUCUAUCUUUGCUUGGUCCACCUGGAUGCCUUUCCCACUUAUUUUGUGUCCCAAAACUAUUCCUUCAGUUACCAUAAAAUAGCAUUUUUCUCAAUUUAAAUUGAGAUUAGUUUCGGUACACCUUUUUAGGGCAGCAUCAAGGUGUGACAAGCAUUGAUCAUAAGACUUAAACAGAAAAAUCAUCCAUAAAUACCUCAAUACUUUUUUCUAACAUUUUAGAGAAGAUGGAGAGCAUGCACCUUUGGAAUGUUGCCGGUGCAUUGCAUAGCCCGAAUGGCAUUCUUCUAUAUGCAAAUACCCCAAAUGGACAAGUAAACGCAGUCUUCUCUUGGUCUUCCGGAGCCACAGCAAUCUGAUUAUACCCUGAGUACCCAUCUAAGAAACAAUAGAAAGCUUGUCCCGCCAACCUCUCCAACAUUUGAUCCAUGAAUGGUAGCGGAAAAUGAUCCUUCCUUGUGGCUUGAUUUAACCUUCGGUAGUCUAUGCACAUCCUCCAGCCAGUAACCGUCCUAGUAGGAAUCAGUUCAUUCUUGUCGUUAGCAAUCACUAUCAUACCUCCCUUCUUAGGGACCACAUGUACUGGACUCACCCAUGUACUAUCUGAAAUGGGGUAAAUCAUGCCGGCAUCUAAGAGUUUCAGCACCUCUUUCUUUACCACUUCCUUCAUAGUCGGGUUAAGUCUCCGUUGUGGUUGGACCAUCGGUUUAAAUUCAGCAUCCAAGUGUAUUUUGUGCAUACAAUAAGCUGGACUUAUACCUUUAAGAUCAGAAAUUUGCCAGCCCAAAGCUUCUUGAUUCUCCCUUAACACCCUCAUUAAUUUUUCUUCUUCAAGAGGUGUCAACGAACUACUGAUGAUGACUGGUUUUGAGGUAUCCUUGCUUAGAAAAACAUACUUCAAGUGAGAAGGUAGCUCUUUUAAUUUAGGAAUUUUAGCAACGUUUCCUCCCUCUUUAUCUUCUUUGGCCGCCUCCUCUUCAUGAUGUGGGAUCAAGCUUUCAAACUUUGUGUACAACAGUUCUUGUUUACUAGCUGCAAGUUGUUGAACACAUUCUUCUACCUCUUUACUCAUGUCUUCAUCAUUGCUUUCAAUCGAAUUUACGAUCACCCUUUCUAAAGUUAGAGCUGGAGAUUCCUUAGUUGUGGUUUCUUCAACAAUAUGGUCUACCACAUCAACUCGGUAACAUUGUGGAUUUUCACUUCUAUGUUUCAUAGCUUCAAAAAUAUUAAAUACAACUUGUUCAUCUUGAAAACGAAGCAUCAAUUCUCCCAUCUCCACAUCAAUGAGUGCUCUACCGGUUGCUAAGAAAGGUCUUCCCAACAACAAAGGAAGCUUGUCAUCUUCCUCCAUAUCAAGAAUCACAAAAUCAGCGGGGAAAAGUAAAUCAUUAACCUUCACUAACACAUCCUCCAGUACUCCAUAAGGAUAAGAAAUAGAGCGAUCAGCUAGAGUAAGUGUCAUCUUUGUAGGUUUAGGUUCCCCACAUCCUAGCUUCUUCAUCAUGGCUAAGGGCAUAAGAUUGAUACUAGCCCCCAAAUCACACAAGGCAUUUCCCACACUUACCUUUCCAAUGGUGCAAGGUAUGGUAAAUGCACCUGGGUCUUUAAGCUUUGGAGGUAACUUCCUUUGGAGUAUGGCACUACAAUUUUCAGACAAAGCUAUGUUUUCAUCAUCUCUAGGCUUCCUCCUUCCGGUCAAAAGAUCUUUCAUAAAUUUUGCAUAGGCAGGCAUUUGAUCAAGUGCUUCACUAAAAGGAAUAUUAACCUGCAAUUGAGUGAACAGCUCCAAGAAUUUCUUGAAUUGGCCUGCCUCUUUCUCCUUUUUCCUUGACAAAUGAGGAUAGGGUAGUUUAACAUAAGGAGGGACAACUUGUUUCUUCCCAUUCUCUUGAAGAAGUUGACUUUUAGUCUUCCUUAGAAUAGAGUCUUCAUCAAUCAGUCUCUCACUCUCACUAUUUUUUUCUCCCUCUUUAUUUUUUUUCCUUCUGUUCAUUUUCAACUACUCCAUCAUUUUUUUCGACUACUUCUUGUUCAUUCUCCUCCACCUCAACUUCGUUAUUCUUUUUGGUCGCCUUAGGAGCUAGAGGUGUCAAUACCUUUUUACUUCUCAAUUCAAUAACAUUGCAACUCUCAUUAUUUUUCGGAUUGUCCUGAGUGUUGCCUGAAAAUCCUCCUUUGGUAUGUUCAGCUAACUGCUUCGCCAUCUGCCCAAUUUGGGUCUCCAUUAAUUUCCUUGCUGCCUCAUUAUUUUUUCUUUCAGCUUCUUGACUUUUCAUGAUGUUUUCAAAGUUUGAUUGAGUCAUCUUCAUGAAACUUGCCAUUUGCUCUUCCAGUGCGGACGGCUUCCGUUGUUGUUGUUGUUGAGGAUUAGGAAGCAAAGGAUUCAAGGUGUUAUUAUUUGAGUAGCUCAAGUUAGGGUGCUUGUUAAGGCCUGAAUUGUAGUAUUGGUUUGACCUUUGAUAGUUCCCCAUAUAGUUGGCUUCCUCACUAAGUCCUUCAGGUACACACUCACCAUUGGCAUGUCCCUCACCGCAUAAGUCACACCUGAUUGCCGCUACUUGUUGUUGUUUGUUGGCUAAAGUGUAACUAUGAAAUUCUUUGGUUAGAAUCUCCAAUUGUUUGUUCAUAGCUGCUUGGUUAGCUAAGAUUGCGGUUUCGUCACUCACCCCAAACACUCCUCUUUCUUUCUUUUUCACAUCAGCACGGUAUUCAUUGCUAGCCAUGUUCUCUAUUAAGGCCUGGACUUCAUGGUCGGUUUUACUCUUUAGACUACCUCCAGCUGAGGCAUCUAAGAACAUCCUAGUGUUGUGUGUUAAUCCCUCAGUGAAGAUUUGGAGGUACUGUUUCUCAGAGAACUCAUGGUUAGGGCAUCUCUUAAGAAGCAAAUUAAAUCGCUCCCAAGCAUCAUAUAGUGACUCACUCUCCCCUUGCCUAAAAUUUGAAAUUUCCAUUUUCUUAUCCCAAUAUUUUGACAUAGGAAAAUAUUUCUCUAGGAAUUUAAGCUCCAACUCUUCCCAACUUUGAACGGUUCCAUUGGGUAUAGUUAGUAGCCAAUCCUUUGCUCUACCGGUUAAGGUGAAAGGGAACAACCUAAGUUUCUUCUGGCUAUCAGUCACUGUGGCUGGUGGUACACAAAACUCACAUGUUUCAGCAAAGCGGCUCAAAUGUUCAUGCGGGUUCAUGCUCUCUGACCCAUCAUAUUGUUUGUCUCUCAACCCAUUGAGAACAGUGGUCUUUAUGUCAAACGCAACAGGGUUGGCGGGUUGAAAAGUGUGAGUCAGUUGCCCACGGUGAGUUGCUAACCCAUAGUCUCCCAGUUUAGGCCUUGCUACAGGCUCUCCCAUGAUGAUUGAUUCGGGAGCAGCGAUUGUUUCAGAUUCAACAAUUGUAGGACUUGGUAUCUGUGCUCGUGCACUUGGUGGAACUGAUUUUGAAAGCCUUAACAAACGGGCAGCUUUCCGAUUAGCCUUCGCAGUUCUUUCAACUUCAGGAUCGUAUUGCAGGUCAUCUGAACUUCGUCUACCUCGCAUAAACAGCAAAUUACCUUAGUAGCACUGCACGAUACAAAAUAAAUAGUGAAUACUAAUUCAAUAAAAAAAUUCUGACAUAAAUUUAAAAAUUGCAGAAAUCCUAAUCAAUAACGCUAUUGCCUUGUUGAAAUGAUUCAACAGUCCCCGGCAGCGGCGCCAAAAACUAUAUAGAUAUUUGGCAAGUGAACCAAAUUCGAUCGAAGUAAUAAAAAAUUCGUUUCCACGAGGACUGUAUUUAACUUCUACUUAACAAUUUCAUUAUUAAAAAGGAUGUAUAAAUUUAUAUUGGUGCCCUAGGCAGUUGAGUUGAUUUAGUAACAUAAACUGAUUAAAAACAAUAAAGAAUUGGUUUUUAAGAAAAUUGAGAGAAGUAUGGUUAAGUCCUUCGAAUCCUCUAAAGCUCUCCUGUGGUAAUUUGCACUCCUAAAUACGAUCAAUGAUUAUUUAGUUUCACGACAGAUUAACUUAGUAAUUCUACCCAAUCUCUUGACCUAGAAUUCUCCCCGCAAGUGACAACCCCUUGAUCUCUUAAGUGAAUUCGAAACCAAUGGAGGUAUUAACGAACGUUAAUCCCUAUAUCAUAACCUAAUAAUGAUCUAUCUCUAGCUUGAUUACUUAGGUUAAACCUAUUACCUAAUUCAGAGUUAAAAGCCAGGGUUAGUGGUCAUUCAAUUUCUAUGAUCAAUAUGCAUAUUCAUAACGCUAGGGUUAAUAGUCUAUCAUAAACGUACAUAAGGCAUUAAGCACAAAGUAAUAAGAAUAAAAACUAAACUUUCAUUGAUGUUCAAAGGAGUUCAACAAAUUAGGGUUCCCAUAGGGUUACAUCAGAUUCAUCUCAUGAAUUAACCACAAAAGAAUUAGUUACUCAUAGCUAAAGUAUAAGCUAACUAACAUAAGAAAACGGAUUCAUACAUGUGAAGGAAGAUUGACUCUUAGUUUUGAUGGUUCCCCACCAGAUCUCCAAGUCUCUGCUCCAAAAUAUGCCUUUAGGUCUCAAAAUUCGUGAACCCCCCUUCAGAAAACACCUCUUACUAUUUAUAGGCUAAUAAAAAUCGACCACCGAGCUCCGAAAUCGGUGGUCGAAAUCCCAAACUGCGUGGCACAAUAGUGUAAAAUCGGCGCCCGAUUUAUGCUUAUCGGCGGCCGAUUUUUGUCGAACUCAAAGUCUGUAACUUGGCAGCAAAAUCGGUGGCCGAUCUAUAUAAUCGGUGGCCGAUUUCCAAUACUUCAAACUUCAUUUUCUUUGUCUUUUGCGGCUUGCAGCUUCAUGAAUUCCAAUAAAAAACCCCCUAAAAUUACAUGAAAAAUGCAUACUAAAAGAGUAAUGACAGAAUGUCAUCAGACAUCAUUCUAAUUCAUUCUUGGUUUAAACCUCCUCUUGUCACUAUUAAGUGUAAUGUUGAUUGUGCCUCUUUCAAUAACAAUUCCAUUACGUGGUAUGAAAUGUGUUUUAGAGAAUCAACGAGACAGUUAUUAUGAAACAUGCCAUCCAUAGAAUGAAUGAGAGAAAAGUAACUAACUCAUUGUAUUGAUGGAAAUUGAAUGUUACAAGCUAUUUAUACUACUUAACUAUUAGGACUAAUAUGCCACUAGUUUAUAUUUCCAAUAGUGCCCAGCAAGUUGGAAGGUGUUCACAGCACUUCCAACUUGAGAUGAACAAUACAAAAGUACAUCAAACAAAUGAAAAUACAAGGAGAAAUGCCAAAAAUACAUCAGUUGUCAACAUAGUCAUCAAGCGAAUGCUUAUCCAACAAAAAGAAACCACAACUUAAGGUUUACCCGCUUGGAGGAAGAAGCAACAAAUCAAUGUUUAACUAUUGAUGGUCGGAUUUAGGCAAGUGUACCAAAUCGUUUACCAAGUAAUAAACUGUCAGUAGAGUAUCGUAUACAUAGGGAUUAUCGUUCAAACUAGGCAAUCCGCGUUACUUAUUUGGAAACAAUAAAAUAAAUAAAAGAUAAGUAUUUAGAGUUUUGCAAUUUAAUUUGUUUGCAACAUAGCAAAAUUUACCUAUUUUGAUUGCAAAAUGUUAGCGGCAGUUAGGAUUCCUCGAAUCCCCUCUAUUUAAUUGUUAGAAUUACGUAACAGUCAAGUUUCAUUCAUGCUUUUAAUGUUUCCUAUUUAAGUGAUAAGUUCGUGGGGUUUUACUACCUAGCAGUUGUCGAGCUGCACCUACUGAUCACACGGGUAGGUACGUGUGGGGGUCUUACUCUCUCAGAGAUAUAGGUUCAUUCCCCUCAAGCAAUCAGUUGCAACCAUUAUACCGGAGUGCAUGUGAGUUUCAGUGUUUAGGAUAUAGAGAUAUACACUUACGCUCAAAGUUUUACAUGUAAGUUCUUAUUUUCUCAGAUGUAUUUGAAACAAUGACGGAUAAUAGGGUUCCUAAAUUCAAAGUAUCCUAAAGGUUCCCCGCCUAUUGAAUCUUAGAGGACAUAGCACACUCUCCCUCUCGGUAGUACAAACGGGCAGUCCUAUCAGUGUCUAUCUUACCAAGGUUUUAGGAGAAUGAAGUUACUUGACUGAUUUAAGUCGUGAAGUCACUUGUUUCCCUAAUUAGAUUAGUUACUUCCUGAUUUAGGUAGGUUUGCACCAAUAUUAGAUAUGUCACCUUCCUAAAUAGCAUUAUCUCAGGUUCCUGUUCUCCUAAUUGCAAAUUUUCCUAAAUAGCGUUAUCUCAAGACAUAGUACACUUUUUGUUUUUCAAUUUAUGUUUUUCUUUGAGCAUUUUAGUUUGGUCCCCCCCCCCCCCCCCCCCUCUUAUAAAUACUUUUAUUUUAUUAAUAAUAUUUUCAAACAAAAUGGUAUGGGAUAGGGUGGAUUUGGGGUCCCAACCUGUUUGAGUUAUCAAUAUUCCAUUUGAUGCCUACAUUUGCUCUCUUUAUUCAGGAAAAAGAAGAAAAAAAAGUAAAAGCGUAUUUGAAAUAUUUGUUAUUUUCAUAUCAAAAUAUUGAUUGUGCAUGUAACUUUACUAAAAAAAAAUAGUGUAUGUAACUUGAUAUAUGUUUACCCUUUUUUUUAACGGUUGAUAUAUAUGUGUCUCUCUAUCUCUAACUUUUUAUCUUCUACUUUUCUGGUACAGUUCAUCUUCUACAAUUUACACAUGUUUCCAAAAUACAUGCAAAUUAAAACUAGAAUGGACCAAGUCAAAAUACGCAAUGGAAUUUUUGUUUUGAACCAAUUGAAUAUUCUAUGAAAACAUUCCAUUAGGAAAGAAUGAUGAUAUGUACGUACGUGUGCAACAUAUGUACAGAAGACGUCACCCAUUAUCAUGAAUUAGUCACUGCCUCACAAAUGAGAAUUAUCCAUAUUAACGUUCAAAGUUCAAACAUGGAUAAGAAAUAUGAAGUAUAUAAAGGAUACAGGUACAUUCAUAAACAUAUAUUGAUUAAUCUUCAAGAUCAUAGUUUAAUCUACAAAUCAGAGAAAAUGUAUGCAACAAGACUUCUUUCCAUGUACAAAAUGAAUCCUAGUGCACUUUCAGACCCACCACCAUCAGGACCAAAUUCAAGUUAUCUUGUGAUAUUGGAUGAAGAAGCUCAAACUUACUGCUGUUUUGGUUUGUGCAAGGACCAUAGAAUCAAGAAUUUUCCUAUCCCUCAGAACAAAGAGGUAACCAUCAAUUAUACAUCUUGUAUAGAAAAUAUGAUAACUAGAGAAAUAAACACAUACAGUGAAGAAGCCAUGUUCAUUCCAGUAUUGAAUCAACCGUUGUCUUCGAAUCGCUACUAUGUUAUAAGAAGGGAGGGGAAAUAUCAAGGGUAUGUAUUUAUUUAAUUUUAAUCAUUUUCUCGUAAUUUUUGUACAAGUUUUUCCCUGUCAUCCCAACUGAGAGUAUUGUAAUAUGAGACAUAAUUAUAUUUGUGUUGGUAAUUAUCUUUCAUGAUUAAAGAAAGAGAAAAGAUAGAUUCAUAAAGUAAUAAUAGUGGUUCUUUCAAAAUUAAUUGUUAAAUCUUAAUUGAUUUCAGCCAAGCUAGUACAAGUUCAAAGGAAGAGGACAAGACCACAUGUUUAUGUUGUAGUUUUGUCCGUGAUGUUAAACCAAAAGCUUUGGAGCCCUUCAAUGAUUAUCAACAGGUAGAAAUAAUCAAAAAAGGUAAUGGAUUUCGCGCAAAAUCAGUUGCCUCUGAUGGAAUUCCUCCUGGGUUAUUGAGGAAAAAAAGUUGGAAACUUAAUGCUAGCACUCCCCGCAACUACCAUUUCAGCGAAGCUUUAGGCUCAAAUGAUUCCUUGCGUUUCAAGCUACCAAAUUUCAACUUUCCAAUUUUCAAUGAUUGUUCUGAAUCAGUGGUUGUUGGAAAGUGGUAUUGUCCAUUUAUGUUUGUGAAGGAAGGAAUGAAUUUAAAGGAGCAUAUGAAGAUGUCAACAUUCUAUGAGCUAACACUUGAGCAAAGAUGGGAGAAGAUUUUUUCAAAGGAAAAUAGUGGAGAAGGUGAUGUGCUUGUAGAUGUUGUUAUUCAAACAGAAAUUGCUAAGGUUGAAGGAAAGGAUGCUGUUUGGGAUGAAAAUAGAUUGGUUGAUGGAGUUUUGUGGUUUAAGAGUGUUGAAGAGAAAAGUGUUGGAUUGAGUUUGGAAGUUGUUGAGGCAAUGAAAUGGGAACAAAGAAGGUUUGGAUGGAAUGCUGGGAAUGAAAGACAAGUGAGAGUAACAAAAGUUGAGGAGUUUGAUGGAGC
rnacentral:lncRNA from 1 species